GUGCUAGCAGGCGGCGAAUUUUUUCUCAAUGGGGGCAACCCUGAAGGAGCGACGCCGCGUGGAGGAUGAAGGCUUUUCGGGUUUGUAAACUCCUGUCAUUUGAGAACAAAGUGUUAGCAAGUAACUACUGCUAGCUUGAUAGUAUCAGAACGGAGGAAGGGACGGCUAAACUCUGUGCCAGCAGCCGCGGUAAUACAGAGGUCCCAAGCGUUGUUCGGAUUCAUUGGGCGUAAAGGGUUGCGUAGGUGGCGCGC
rnacentral:rRNA from 1 species